GCCUACGGGGCGCAGCAGUAGGGAAUUUUCGUCAAUGGGCGCAAGCCUGAACGAGCAAUGCCGCGUGAACGAGGAAGGUCUUCGGAUCGUAAAGUUCUGUUGAAGGGGAAAAAGAGCGGAGAGAGGAAAUGAACUCCGAUUGAUAUUACCCUUCGAGGAAGUCACGGCUAACUACGUGCCAGCAGCCGCGGUAAUACGUAGGUGGCGAGCGUUAUCCGGAAUGAUUGGGCGUAAAGGGUGCGUAGGCGGUCCGUUAAGUCAGCGGUAAAAUUGCGGGGCUCAACCCCGUCGAGCCGUUGAAACUG
rnacentral:rRNA from 1 species